GGCCGGUUGGCUUAGUUGGUUAGAGCACAGUGCUCAUAACACCCAGGUCGCCGGUUCGAUUCCUGCAUGGGCCA